rnacentral:rRNA from 1 species
AUUGAACGCUGGCGGAAUGCUUUACACAUGCAAGUCGAACGGUAGAGGGGGCAACCCCUCGAGAGCGGCGAACGGGUGAGUAAUAUAUCGGAACGUGCCCAGUCGUGGGGGAUAACGUAGCGAAAGUUACGCUAAUACCGCAUACGAUCUAAGGAUGAAAGCGGGGGAUCGCAAGACCUCGCGCGAUUGAAGCGGCCGAUAUCAGAUUAGGUAGCUGGUGGGGUAAAGGCCCACCAAGCCAACGAUCUGUAGCUGGUCUGAGAGGACGACCAGCCACACUGGAACUGAGACACGGUCCAGACUCAUACGGGAGGCAGCAGUGGGGAAUUUUGGACAAUGGGCGAAAGCCUGAUCCAGCCAUUCCGCGUGCAGGAUGAAGGCCCUCGGGUUGUAAACUGCUUUUGUACAGAACGAAAAGGUUUCUACUAAUACUAGGAGCUCAUGACGGUACUGUAAGAAUAAGCACCGGCUAACUACGUGCCAGCAGCCGCCGUAA